rnacentral:sRNA from 1 species
CAUCGGCAACACGAAAUUUGCCGCUGUCCGGCUCUACUGGCUUGUCCCCCGCCACUGCCGGACACAGGGACAAAGGCCUCAUCCCCCCUCUCCGGGCCUUUGUCCGAUUUAUAGGAAGCCGUCGCGACACCGCCCCCCGUCGCGGCGGCUUUUC